UUAUAGGACUGGUUCACACGGCUGGGCAGACCUGAAUUCAUACAGCCUCUGGUGGUUUUCAGAUGGAAGAAAACAGAAUUGUGACCAGCAGCCAGGGAUCUCCUCAACUGAAAUAAAGCCCAAAAGUGAAGGUGUGUGUGUCUGAGGGGAGAUGUAGAAAACCCCAAUUUACAUUGGAAAUUAGACUUUUGUGGAAGGAAAGCCAAGGUUGUUGCUCAAGCUUACAAAUUACUACCAGAGGAAGUGUCUCAGGAAACCGGUGACAUGUUUGUGUUCCGGUUCCCUAUUGUCUGCAAAGAUGACCAAGGGAACUGGAAUAGUUUCAGAGCAAGCUCCACCUAGUUCUUCUGGCCAGGAAAAGAGUUGUCACCCUAUACGAACACCUGCAAGGACAAGGCUGUCAAUUACUUACUGUAACCAAGUACAUCAGACCUGGAAAGGUAGAUAACAAGUACAGUAUUCCAGGAAUACAGAAAACUAUAGAGGCAAAUAGAAAGCUGUUAAACUAUCAUACUCAACCAGGCCUCAAACUCCUUAGCUGCAGGAGCGACGUUAAAAUACUACCCCAAAGUUAACUUGCAAGUCUGAUGUUUGGAAGGACCUU